AUGGCCGCCGCCGGCGACGACGCGCCCGCGGGGCUCUUCUCCGGCGUCUGGUCCCGCCUCCACGCCGCGGCCUCCGUCUGGCGUCGCCGGGGCCAGGCCUCCCAAGACGGUGACGGGGAGGAGGAGGAGUCCACCGUGCGGUCGCGCCUCGCGAGGCGGGCCGCGGCGGCGCGGCGGGUCGGACGGAAGCUCGCCUUCGUCUCCUUCAACCUCGAGGUGCUGGUAUUCAUCUACGCGUUCUGGAGGGCGAGGAGACGGAGUCUGACCUGGAGGCAGCCCAUCCAGGUGCUGCCGGUGCUUGCGGUCCCUGCUCUCGCCACGCUCAUAUACGCCGCCUUCGUCCGCUUCACCAGAAUGCUUGACCUAAAGGACAAAAGAACACUUGAAAGACUUCAAGAGGACAAGCCGCAAACUGAGUGUGAACCAAGGGAUUCAGUUGACCUCAAGGACAAGGAAACGCUUGAAAGACUUCAAGAGGACAAGCAGCGAACUGAGUGUGAACCAGGGGAGUUUGACCGGGACAACCAAAACAAUGUCCAGAACUGUGAUGAUGUGGACGAUGCUAGUAAUUCUCUGGUUGGAACUGAUUCAGCAGCACAAACUGCUAAGCUUAUGAAACAUCGCCAGUCGAGCAUUAAGCAUAGAGAUGAUGAUGGAGCAGAUAUGGCUUGGGGUCAUAGCAAGGAUUUCCAAUCAGCACCCUCAGGUGGACUAAGGAUGAGAAGAUUGUCAAGUGCAAAAACAUACAUGACCAGCAGCAGUUUUAUAGAAAGAAGUGUGGAAAAGACACAGGAAAUGCCAUCUGUCUCUGCACAUUUAGAUCAGCAUGUCCAUGUCCCUAUUUCCACUGAAGAUACUAUUUCGUAUCAUUUUGAUGAUUGCCGCAGCAUGCAUGCUCAACCUGCAGAUACCCCUCAAGAAUUGUCUGAAGGAGAUGGUGACAAAGAAGGGUUUGAUGGAUUAUGGGACAUUGUGGAAACUCGUUCCAAUUCCAGCAAGGAGAAUCCCAUAUCUCCAGUUGGUUCUCAUAAUAAUUUUUAUGACGGAGACGAUUCACGCUCCCCUGCAUCUUCACCAGACGACUUUGUUGCUCAUAAUAGCUUAAAUGACUUCAGCCCUGACCUGUCUGGUCUGGUACUACCUGCAUCAGAAACCUUGAAAAUGUUGCCUCCCGAAGGUGUCAGGGAGGAAGCAUUGCUUGAUCCACACAAGUCAGAAGUGUUGCAUAUGUAUUCUUUGACUCCAAAGGAGAGCCCUACUCCCUAUGCAGUCAAUGACAAGGAACUGCCAAUCACUCCUGACAUGGGGACCUAUUCAGAGUUGCUUGGCGAGGGAGUCGAGACAGAAUCGUCCAUAUUCCAUACACCAGAGGACAGUACGCCAUCCUUCAUCUCAGAGGAGGUUUUACUGUGUCCACCUGCAGUCAGUAAUAUCGAACAUUGCUUGGGGACUCCAGAGUUCUCUUUGUGCGGUCAAGAGACUGAAAAAAUUGAAGUUGUUGGAAGUGUCAGCUUUACUAAUGACAGUCCUGAGUUAAGCUUCUUAUCCUCUCCAGAAUUAGUUGUGGAGAGUGCUGAGGAUGCCAUUGAGAAAGAAUUAUGUGAGUUAAACUCAAAGGAGGAGACUACUAUGCUCAUCAGUAUGGAGGAGGAACCUUUGCAAGGUCCACUUAUAGUCAGUACUGGUACUAGUGAACAAUGCCUGGAAACUUCAGAUGUCUCUUUAUGCAUUCAAGAUACCAAGGCGGGGGAAGUUUCUGGAAUUAUAAACUUUGUUACAGCCACUCCUGAAUUAAUGUAUACAGCGUCUCCGGAGUUACUUGCAGAAGGUGAUGAGGACUUGAAGGAGGAUAAAACGUCUGAUUUGCAUUUACCGGAGCAGAAUGGCCUACCUUUAAACAUUGAGAAAGAACCUAUUCUGGAUUCACUUGUAGCUGAUACUGCUGAGGAUGUCGAGAGAACAGAAGUUCAUGAUGUUGUCCAGGAAGGUUCUUUUGAAUCAGAAGACGAGGAAACAUUUAAUAAUCCAAAUCUUGUUGUCACUUCUUCAAUUGAUGAUAGUAAAAAUCAAAAUUUGAUAAGUGACUCAAUGCUUGUUCAAUUUAUUCCAAACACCGACAUAAAUGAAGCUCUUGAAGGUGGCUGGGAAGCAGUUUCUGAACCGCUACAUCAAGGCCCUCGCCAUUCUGAAGGAAUGUUCUUAUCUCCCGGGGAGAUCAAUAAUGACGAAAUCUAUUCUUUGACUCCAAUGGAGAGCCCUACAUUGUAUGCAGUCAAUGACAAGGAGCUGCCAAUCACUCCUGACAUGGAGAGCUAUCCAGAGUUCUUUGGCGAGGGAAUUGAAGAGAUAGUAUCGUCCAAGUUCCAUAUGCCAGAGGAGAGUACGACGCCCUUCAAUUUGGAGGAGGUUUUACCGUGCUCGCUUGCAGUCAGUAAUAUAGAAAAUUGCCCCGGGGCUCCAGAGUUCUCUGUAUGUGGUGAAGAAGAGACUGAUAAAAUGGAAGUUGCUGGAAGUGUCAGCUUUAUCAAUGUCAGUCCUGAGUUGAGCUUCUUAUCUUCUCCAGAGUUGGUUGUGGAGAGUGCUGAGGAUGCCACCGAGAAAGAAUUAUGUGAAUUAGAUACAAAGGAGGACAAUGCUAUACUCAUCAACAUGGAGGAGGAAGCUUUACAAGAUCCGCUUAUGGUCAGUACCAGUACUGUUGAACAAUGCUUGGAAACUUCAGAUGUCUCUUUACGCAUUCAAGAUGCCAAUCCUAAAUCGAUGUACCCACCAUCUCCAGAGGUACUUGGAGAAUAUAAUGAAGAAUUCAAGGAGGAUCAAACGUCUGACUCGCACAUACUGGAGGAGAAUGGCCUACCUUUUAAUUUUGAAAAGGAACCUAUUCUGGAUUCACCUGUAGCUGAUACUGCUGAGGGCGUCGAGAUAACAGGGGUUCAUUAUGUUGUCAAGGAAGGUUUUUCUGAGUCAGAAGGCGAGGAAGCAUUUAACUAUCAAAAGCUUGCUGUCACAGAUUCGGAGGAUGAUAGUGACACUCAAAAUUUGAUUAUUGAUUCAAUGCCAGUGAAAUUCAUUCGAAACAGCGACCUAAAUGAAGUUCUUGAAGGUGGCCAGGAAGCAUUUUCUCAGCCACUAUGCCAAAGCACUCGCCAUUCUGAAGGAAUGUUCUUAUCUUCAGCGGAGAUCAAUAAUGAUGAAGUCUAUUCAAGCAACUCAAAUUCAUAUGCCAAUGUGGUGGAAGAUGCUGCACCCUCUGAAGGACUUUCUAAGUUUGAAGAUGAAAUGUCUAUUGCUUCUUUAGAUACUCCCAUCUGCCUGGAUGAGGUUAAAAGUGCAGCUAUUGUUGACAUUGAUAUAGUCAGUCCUAAACUGAGCCUUCAACCAGAGCUGCAUGAUGUGGGAGUUGAGGAGAAUGAAUUUUCCAAGUUCCAUGUACCAGAGGAAAUCAGAACACCCUUCAAUUUGGAGGAGCAAGUUUUGCUAUCCCCAGUUGCGGUCAAUAAUACUGAAUACUGCAGGGAGACUCAGGAGUUCUCUUUGUACAAUCAAGAGAAUGAGGAAAGGGAAGUUGUUGAAAGUGUCAGCUAUAUUAAGGUCAGUCCUGAGUCGAGCCUCUUAUCCUCUCCAGAGUUUGUUGGGGAGGGUGGUGAGGAUGCUAGGGAGAAAGAAGCACACGAAUUAAACACAAAUGAGGAGAAUGAGACACUCAUCAAUUUGGAGGAGGAACCUUUACAAGCUGCGCCUGUGGUCAGUACUACUGAUCAGUGCUUGGAAACAUCAGAGUUUUCUUUAUCUAGUGAAGUUGCCAAGACAACGGAUGUUCCAGAGAUUGUUAGCUUUGUUACAGUCAGUCCUGAAUUAAACUACUCUGCAUCUUCAGAGUUACUUUCAGAGGGGGGCGGGGACUUACACGAGGAUGAAACGUCUGACUUGCACUUACAGGAGCAGAAGGCCCUACCUUUUAAUUUGGAGGAGCCUUUUCUGGAUCCACUUGUAGUUGAUACUGCUGAAGAUGCGUUGGCUACAUCAGAACUUUUGAUAUGCAGUGAAGAGGUCAAGAUGACCGAAGUUCAUGGAGUCGUCGAGGAAGUUUUCUCUGAAUCAGAAGACGAGGCAGCAUGUGACCAUCCAAACCUUGUUCUCGCCUCUCCAGAUGAUGAUAGUACCGCUCAAAAUUUGACAAGUAAUUCAAUAUCUGCUCAGGUCAUUCCGGACACCAGUGUAAAGGAAGCUUCUCAAGCUGGUCAGGAAGCAUGGCCUGAGCCACCACAUGAAAGCAUUUGCCAUUCUGAAGGAACAUUCCUAUCUUCAGGUGAGGUCAAUCAUGAUAAAGUGACAGUUGAAGCACCAUUUGCUGGUGAGGGAGGACUUUCUAUGCCUGAAGAUGAAAUAGCUUUGACUUCUCUAGAGACUUCCAUCUUGCUUGAUGAGGUUAGAACUGCAGAAAAUUUGGCAGCCAACUCUGAACCUUCUCAGUCCAUCCCAGACAUCAACGGAUUUCAAUCUCUUCACGACCAGGAACAAGCUCCAUCUGAAACACUGCAGGACACUAAUUUUCUUCUCGAGGGAAGCCACACAUCUUCAGAUGAGGGUAUAAACUCUGAAAUAUUUUCGCUGUAUUCCAGGUCAUCUUCAUGUGUUUCAGAGAUCAACAUGCUGGAAUCUCUCAGAAGUGGAACAUCUUCUGAACCGGACAAUGAUCGUGGUUUAAGCUUUGAUGAGAGGAACCGUGUGAUAUUUCAUAACAUGGACAGUACAGAAAAUAACACAAACAACCCAGUGACUGAUGAAUCUAUCCUGGAGACCAACAUGAUUGAAACUCUUAAUAUUGCUGAUGAAACAACUGCUGAUUCACCGCAUGAAGUUUCUUCAAACUUUGUGGACUCUUUUGUAGCUCCAGAUGUAAUCAAUGGCAUGACACAAUCAGAUCAACACUUGGACUUAUCAUCCUCUUCAUUUGCUCCGGUGGUUGAUGCAUUUGAAACAUUGCAAAGUGGUCAGUUUUUUUCUGAGCCUCAACUCGAAAAUGAUGUUAUGUUUGAGCAGACCCACAUGUCCCCUAAGGAGGCUGACGAUGCUGAAAACUAUUUCACCAAUACAAUUGACGAUCCUCAAGAUAGUGAGAGAACAUCAACUGUAGCUUUGGAAGAUGAAGAUGAUUUAACUCUUCAUAAGGCUUACAUGUCUCCUGAAGAUAUCAGUGAAGUCAAAAAUUCUUUGGCUGAUGAUUAUGCUUCAGAUCUUCCUCACAUGCCGGAGAACCAUUGCUUCAGCGAAAAAGUAUCACCUGAAUCUCAGGACCCCUUAAGUUCUGAGGAGAUUUUGGUUUGUCCAGAGGGUUUGAAAACUGAAAAUGAUUUAGACGGUGUAAAGUCAUCCUUGUAUUCUACAGAGGCCAACUUGGCAGAACCUUGUGGCAUUGCUCACGAAGGAACUCAGCAACAAGAUGAAACCAUGUUGGGUUUUGAGGAAGCCAGUUCUGAAUAUCACUAUGACAAUUCAGGGUCCCUAGAUAUUCCAGAUGUCACUGUGGCGGAGAGUCUUCAAGCCGCAGAGAGAUCAUCAUCUGAGAUACUUUACGAUGGCAUGUUCAGUUUCGAGGGGACAUUAAUAUCUCUAGAUGGCGAUGACAAUGCUGAGGAUUUUCCUAACAAUUCAGGUUCUGUUAUGCAUACUGCACAGACCGACACAACAAGUCUCCCUAGUCUUCAAGAAGGGUCUUUCAAGCCAGAAGAUGAAAAUCCAGUUAAUUCUAUCUCCCCAUAUGAGGUUGAUACUGAAGAAUCAAGUAGCUCAAAUCAUGGUAAUUCCAGCUCCGCUUCAUCUCGUCAUGACAUCAGCUUCAUGGAGGCUCCUCGGCCCCAGGAACUGCCUAUAGACGCUGGAAGGGAAAAAGUUCUGCUCAAGGAUAAGGAACCAAAAGACAGUAAAUCUGAGGUCAUGAAAGAGACUGUCGAAGAUUUGGAUGACGACCAUGAGAGGAAACCAGUAGUCACAAUCAGUCAUAGCACUGGGAGCAGUAUUGUAUCUGAACUAGCUGACUUGCAGUACACCCAGUCAGUUGAUGAUGAUACUGAAACUCUUAGUGCUCCUCUACCUUCAUCUGUUGCUACAGAUAUUUUGAAGCAGACCAAAUGA
rnacentral:rRNA from 1 species